rnacentral:rRNA from 1 species
GAUGGACGCUGGCGGCGUGCCUAAUACAUGCAAGUCGAGCGAACAGACGAGGAGCUUGCUCCUCUGACGUUAGCGGCGGACGGGUGAGUAACACGUGGAUAACCUACCUAUAAGACUGGGAUAACUUCGGGAAACCGGAGCUAAUACCGGAUAAUAUAUUGAACCGCAUGGUUCAAUAGUGAAAGACGGUUUUGCUGUCACUUAUAGAUGGAUCCGCGCCGGAUUAGCUAGUUGGUAAGGUAACGGCUUACCAAGGCGACGAUGCGUAGCCGACCUGAGAGGACGAUCGGCCACACUGGAACUGAGACACGGUCCAGACUCCUACGGGAGGCAGCAGUAGGGAAUCUUCCGCAAUGGGCGAAAGCCUGACGGAGCAACGCCGCGUGAGUGAUGAAGGUCUUCGGAUCGUAAACCUCUGUUAUUCGGGACGAACAGAUGUGUAAGUAACUAUGCGCGUCUUGACGGUACCUAAUCAGAAAGCCACGGCUAACUACGUG